UAGCUCAGUUGGUAAAGAAUCUGCCUGCAAUGCAGGAGACCUAGGUUCAAUUCCUAG
rnacentral:tRNA from 1 species